rnacentral:rRNA from 1 species
AUUGAACGCUGGCGGCAUGCUUUACACAUGCAAGUCGAACGGCAGCACAGGGAGCUUGCUCCCGGGUGGCGAGUGGCGCACGGGUGAGUAAUACAUCGGAACGUGUCCUGUUGUGGGGGAUAACUGCUCGAAAGGGUGGCUAAUACCGCAUGAGACCUGAGGGUGAAAGCGGGGGAUCGCAAGACCUCGCGCAAUUGGAGCGGCCGAUGCCCGAUUAGCUAGUUGGUGAGGUAAAGGCUCACCAAGGCGACGAUCGGUAGCUGGUCUGAGAGGACGACCAGCCACACUGGGACUGAGACACGGCCCAG